rnacentral:lncRNA from 1 species
ACAGCUAUGGACUUUGGCUUUUGCCUAUUGUCUCUGGCAUCAGAGAGUCAAACAAAAACAGGACGUUGAGCCUAGAGAAGCUUCAAUUAACAAAAAAGAGUUUUGUGAAUAGGUACACCUAUACAUGUAUUUAUGGUGUUGGAGUCAUGAGUCCAAAGAGGAGUGCGCCUGUGUAAGAGCACGCAUGCCCAGACGUGUGCAUACAUGGCACACAUUGGCGCUCAGUGUAAGUGAAGAGUUCACCUGUUUUCAAAUGACCAGUCCAUAUUGACUAGAUUAGCUAUAGUCUAUGCACAAAGUCAUGGAGCAAACUUUAAACCAAACAUAAUGGAGCUGCUUUAUAUUUGCAAUAAAAGAAGAUGUAAUUAAAUACAAAAAUAACACUAAAGUCUCUAAAUGUGGAAAUAGUAUACGCCAAAAUCAUCAUCGAAAAUUUACAACUUUAUUUGUCCGAACUCACUCAAAAUUAACAAAUGAGGUAUUGAAAAGAGAACACAAAUGGGCAACGUUUGCUUAAAGUUGUGUAUUGGUUUGGCGCCUCCAAAGAAUCAAUGUAAGUGGCGACACAAAUAGAGGUGCGAGUGAACCUGCUGCUCGGCGUACUCAUGACUGGCUAGAUGUUUAGGAAUUGAUGUCCCUACCACUUUAAAAAGCAAAGUCAAAAUGAGCAUCUGGGAUCUCAGCUAAAGGCAAUGUAUGGGUCCCAUAAAAACAAAAUGUUCUAAUAUUCCCCCAAAGACAUAAAUAAGUAGAAAUCCUGCAUCCUGGAGAUGAAGAUUGAUAGGACCCUGGUGCCAAAGUGCAACUCCAAGUAAAAUCCCCAUGCAACUUUAUUUAGCUUGGGAAAAAAUGUAGCAUAACACUCUCCCACAGGGGCUGAAUGUAAAGACAGAGCAGCUCGUCCACAGUGCCUAUCUCUCGCUGGGAUUUUCAGGAAGGUCUCUAUGGUGCAGUUUGCAAGACAGUCA